rnacentral:rRNA from 1 species
GUGGGGAAUUUUGGACAAUGGGCGCAAGCCUGAUCCAGCCAUGCCGCGUGAGUGAAGAAGGCCUUCGGGUUGUAAAGCUCUUUCGGCAGGAACGAAAUGGUUCGUGCUAAUACCACGGACUGAUGACGGUACCUGAAGAAGAAGCACCGGCUAACUACGUGCCAGCAGCCGCGGUAAUACGUAGGGUGCAGGCGUUAAUCGGAAUUACUGGGCGUAAAGCGUGCGCAGGCGGUUUCUUAAGUCAGAUGUGAAAGCCCCGGGCUUAACCUGGGAACUGCGUUUGAAACUGGGAGACUUGAGUGUGGCAGAGGGGGGUGGAAUUCCACGUGUAGCAGUGAAAUGCGUAGAUAUGUGGAGGAACACCGAUGGCGAAGGCAGCCCCCUGGGUUAACACUGACGCUCAUGCACGAAAGCGUGGGGAGCAAACAGGAUUAGAUACCCUGGUAGUCC